AGAGAUGUGUGAUGACGCAUAUCAAUAAGCGGAGGAAAAGAAACUAACAAGGAUUCCCUUAGUAACGGCGAGUGAAGCGGGAAGAGCUCAAAUUUGAAAUCUUCAAGGUUCCACCUUGACGAAUUGUAGUUUAUAGAAGUGUUUUCUGUUAGUAGAGUGGCAAAAGUUCUUUGGAAUAGGACAUCAUAGAGGGUGAGAAUCCCGUAUUUGGUCAUUCUUUCUAGCUUUGUGAUACACUUUCAACGAGUCGGAUUGUUUGGGAAUGCAGUCCAAAAUGGGUGGCAAAUUUCAUCUAAAGCUAAAUAUUGGCGAGAGACCGAUAGCGAACAAGUACCGUGAGGGAAAGAUGAAAAGAACUUUGAAAAGAGAGUUAAACAGUACGUGAAAUUGUCAAAAGGGAAGCGUUUGACACCAGUGUUGUUUUUCCGAAAAUCAAUUACGAAUGUUUUGUUUUUGAGAAGUUAUGACUUCAUCGGCUUGCUUCUCUCUUUACGAAACUUUCUUAAUGCACUUUUCGGUUAACAAGUCAACAUCAAUUUCUUUUGUUGUAAAAGGGUAUGAGGAAGGUGGCUUUCUUUUCGGAGAAAGUGUUUAUAGCCUUGUACCUCUGCAAUCGGAGAGAUUGAGGUCUGCAGCGUAGAUCCUUCGGGGUUAGAUACAUUUGUGCUAAGUUAUAGCUUUUCAUAGACAACUUGUUGACUAUGUUAAGUCUUGUAGCUUACUCGCUUAUGCUAUUUUACCUACGCUUAGGAUGUUGACGAUCAGCUGAGCGCG
rnacentral:rRNA from 1 species